UGCAGAUAUUUCUGUUUAUGGAUUUGUUUUGUUCAUUAAAAUAACCAACCUGUGUUUCUGUGUUGACCAGUGACACUGCGUCAGAGGCUUCUAACGCAGAAAACUGCUGCCCAAAGAACUUUUGGCUGCACAGGCUGUUUGGUCAACCUCUGGUAUGUUUCAGAGCUGUUAAAAUAAGAUCAUUUUAUAAAUGUGACAUUUAAAAUCAGACACUAAAAAUAUUUGACACAGUGGGUUUUCAUUUUUAUAUUUGUUGUUACUCCACAGAGAAAAGUCACAAGUCUAAUCAGCCAUCAGCGGAGGUGAGUAAACUGCUCCAACAAUCAGCUGUUUAUUUGUGCAGCCACAAAAGAUAAAUGUUGACUAGUCACUGCAGACUCCUUUAAAAACAUCACUACAGGUUGUUAAAACAAAUGUCACCACACGGUAAUGGUGUGUGCUUGUGUCUGCAGAGAUUUCACCUCCAAGGGUCUGGCUGGCUCCACAGCAUCCCCACCUGGGGAGAAAAACAAGAAACCAAAGGAGAAGAAAUGGAGUUGUUCUUGGUUUUUUAAGUGAUGUAGUGUAAGUAAAGCAUAGGAAUACCAGUCUGGACUUCAGUGUUGUUAUAAGCAUUAGUUUUGGUUUAUCUUUCAGUUGAUCCUGUUACUGACAAAUCAAAACUAUUUUUACUCCAUUAGAGAGAAAAGCGUGUGUCUCCUCUCUCUGAUCAUAAAGAUCAGCAAAAGCCUCCUCGGGAACUCCAGAGAUG